AAUGGGGGAAACCCUGACCUAGCAACGCCGCGUGAAGGAAGAAGGUCUUCGGAUUGUAAACUUCUUUGACGAGGGACGAUAAUGACGGUACCUCGAAAACAAGCCACGGCUAACUACGUGCCAGCAGCCGCGGUAAUACGUAGGUGGCAAGCGUUGUCCGGAUUUACUGGGUGUAAAGGGCGUGUAGGCGGAAUGGCAAGUCAGAUGUGAAAUACGGGAGCUUAACUCCCGGGCUGCAUUUGAAACUGCUGUUCUUGAGUGAUGGAGAGGUAAGCGGAAUUCCCGGUGUAGCGGUAAAAUGCGUAGAUAUCGGGAGGAACACCAGUGGCGAAGGCGGCUUACUGGACAUUAACUGACGCUGAGGCGCGAAAGUGUGGGGAGCAAA
rnacentral:rRNA from 1 species